rnacentral:misc_RNA from 1 species
UGGCUCUCGCAUCGAUGAAGAACGCAGCGAAAUGCGAUAAGUAAUGUGAAUUGCAGAAUUCAGUGAAUCAUCGAAUCUUUGAACGCACCUUGCGCCCUUUGGUAUUCCAGAGGGCAUGCCUGUUUGAGUAUCAUGAACACCUCAACUCCUCACGGUCCGCCGUGAUGAGCUUGGACUUUGGGGGUCUUGCUGGCCUGUGGUCGGCUCCUCUCAAAUGAAUCAGCUUGCCAGUGUUUGGUGGCAUCACGGGUGUGAUAACUAUCUACGCUUGUGGUUUUCCACCAGGUAACCUUCAGCAAUGGAGGUUCGCUGGGGCUCACAAACGUCCCUCCUCGGUGAGGACAGCUUCUUGAAUGUUUGAUCUCAAAUCAGGUAGGGCUACCCGCUGA